UUGACCUCGGAUCAAGUAGGGAUACCCAGA
rnacentral:rRNA from 1 species